CCCUCGGUGGUGCAAACAGUUAACACACUGGACUACUAACCCAGAGGCUGGAAGUUUAAGUCCUCCCAGAAGCU
rnacentral:tRNA from 1 species